GACGAACGCUGGCGGCGUGCUUAACACAUGCAAGUCGAACGGUAAGGCUCCAGCUUGCUGGGGUACACGAGUGGCGAACGGGUGAGUAACACGUGGGUGACCUGCCCUGCACUUCGGGAUAAGCCUGGGAAACUGGGUCUAAUACCGGAUAGGACCGCACCGUGAGGGUGUGGUGGAAAGUUUUUUCGGUGUGGGAUGGGCCCGCGGCCUAUCAGCUUGUUGGUGGGGUAAUGGCCUACCAAGGCGGCGACGGGUAGCCGGCCUGAGAGGGUGGGCGGUCACACUGGGACUGAGAUACGGCCCAGACUCCUACGGGAGGCAGCAGUGGGGGAUUUUGCACAAUGGGCGCAAGCCUGAUGCAGCGACGCCGCGUGAGGGAUGAAGGCCUUCGGGUUGUAAACCUCUUUCGCUGGGUUGAAAGGCCAUGCUUUGGGUGUGGUUGAUUUGAACUGGUAAAGAAGUACCGGCUAACUACGUGCCAGCAGCCGCGGUAAUACGUAGGGUACUAGCGUUGUCCGGAUUUAUUGGGCGUAAAGGGCUUGUAGGUGGUUUGUCGCGUCUGUCGUGAAAUCCUGUGGCUUAACCAUGGGCUUGCGGUGGGUACGGGCAGGCUUGAGUGCGGUAGGGGAGACUGGAAUUCCUGGUGUAGCGGUGGAAUGCGCAGAUAUCAGGAGGAACACCGAUGGCGAAGGCAGGUCUCUGGGUAGUAACUGACGCUGAGGAGCGAAAGCAUGGGUAGCGAACAGGAUUAGAUACCCUGGUAGUCCAUGCCGUAAACGGUGGGCGCUAGGUGUGGGGUUCCUUCCACGGGCUCCGUGCCGUAGCUAACGCAUUAAGCGCCCCGCCUGGGGAGUACGGCCGCAAGGCUAAAACUCAAAGAAAUUGACGGGGGCCCGCACAAGCGGCGGAGCAUGUGGAUUAAUUCGAUGCAACGCGAAGAACCUUACCUGGGCUUGACAUAUAGAGGAUCGCUGCAGAGAUGUGGUUUCCCUUGUGGCUUCUAUACAGGUGGUGCAUGGUUGUCGUCAGCUCGUGUCGUGAGAUGUUAGGUUAAGUCCCGCAACGAGCGCAACCCUUGUCUUAUGUUGCCAGCACGUUAUGGUGGGGACUCGUGAGAGACUGCCGGGGUCAACUCGGAGGAAGGUGGGGAUGACGUCAAAUCAUCAUGCCUCUUAUGUCCAGGGCUUCACACAUGCUACAAUGGCCGGUACAGAGGGCUGCGAUGCUGUAAAGCGGAGCGAAUCUCUUAAAGCCGGUCUCAGUUCGGAUUGGGGUCUGCAACUCGACCCCAUGAAGUCGGAGUCGCUAGUAAUCGCAGAUCAGCAACGCUGCGGUGAAUACGUUCCCGGGCCU
rnacentral:rRNA from 1 species